rnacentral:rRNA from 1 species
CAGUCGCCGCGGUAAUACGAAGGGUGCAAGCGUUACUCGGAAUUACUGGGCGUAAAGCGUGCGUAGGUGGUGGUUUAAGUCCGUUGUGAAAGCCCUGGGCUCAACCUGGGAAUUGCAGUGGAUACUGGGUCACUAGAGUGUGGUAGAGGAUAGUGGAAUUUCCGGUGUAGCAGUGAAAUGCGUAGAGAUCGGAAGGAACAUCUGUGGCGAAGGCGACUAUCUGGGCCAACACUGACACUGAGGCACGAAAGCGUGGGGAGCAAACAGGAUUAGAUACCCCAGUAGUCCCUGUCUCUUAUAA